rnacentral:rRNA from 1 species
GUGGUCCUACGGGGCGCAGCAGUGGGGAAUAUUGCACAAUGGGGGAAACCCUGAUGCAGCGACGCCGCGUGAGCGAUGAAGUAUUUCGGUAUGUAAAGCUCUAUCAGCAGGGAAGAAAAUGACGGUACCUGACUAAGAAGCCCCGGCUAACUACGUGCCAGCAGCCGCGGUAAUACGUAGGGGGCAAGCGUUAUCCGGGUUUACUGGGGGUAAAGGGAGCGUAGACGGUCCUGCAAGCCAGAUGUGAAAGCCCGGGGCUCAACCCCGGGACUGCAUUGGGAACGGUAAGGCUAGAGGGUCGGAGG